rnacentral:rRNA from 1 species
UACGUAGGGGGCGAGCGUUGUCCGGAGUUACUGGGCGUAAAGAGCGUGUAGGCGGUUGAAAAAGUCAGGUGUGAAAUUCUUCGGCUCAACCGAGGGACUGCGCCUGAAACUUUUCGACUGGAGUUCGGGAGGGGCAACUGGAAUUCCUGGUGUAACGGUGAAAUGUGUAGAUAUCAGGAGGAACACCCGUGGCGAAGGCGGGUUGCUGGACCGAAACUGACGCUAAGACGCGAAAGCGUGGGUAGCAAACAGGAUUAGAUACCCUAAUAAUCCACACUAUAAACAAUAAAUGCUAAAUGUAGGGGGUAUCGACUCCUUCUGUGCCGCAGUUAACGCAUUAAGCACUCCGCCUGGGGAGUACGGCCGCAAGGUUAAA